AUACGGAGGAUCCGAGCGUUAUCCGGAUUUAUUGGGUUUAAAGGGUGCGCAGGCGGCCAUUUAAGUCAGCGGUUAAAUCGUGGGGCUCAACCCCAUUCUGCCGUUGAUACUGGGUGGCUUGAUUGCGGUCGAGGUUGGCGGAAUUCGUUGUGUAGCGGUGAAAUGCAUAGAUAUGACGAAGAACACCGAUUGCGUAGGCAGCUGACCAGACCGCAAAUGACGCUCAGGCACGAAAGUGCGGGGAUCGAACAGGAUUAGAUACCCUGGUAGUCCGCACAGUAAACGAUGAAUACUUGUUUUCGGCGAUAUAAUGUCGGAGGCAAAGCGAAAGCGAUAAGUAUUCCACCUGGGGAGUACGCCGGCAACGGUGAAACUCAAAGGAAUUGACGGGG
rnacentral:rRNA from 1 species